GGGCCUCUGGCGCAACGGUAGCGCGUUGUAAGUACACACUUAAAAGCCAAGCAAUGCCUUGAAUUUCUUCUAACAAAUAUCACAGCGACUCCAGAUCGAAAGGUUAUCCGUUCAAAUCGGGUGGGGCUCA